GAUGAAGAACGCAGCGAAAUGCGAUAAGUAAUGUGAAUUGCAGAAUUCAGUGAAUCAUCGAAUCUUUGAACGCACAUUGCGCCCGCCAGUAUUCUGGCGGGCAUGCCUGUCUGAGCGUCAUUUCAACCCUCAAGCAACUUCUGCUUGGUGUUGGGGAUCGGCCGUCAAACGUCGCCCCCGAAAUCUAUUGGCGAUCUCGCUGUAGCUUCCUAUGCGUAGUAGUAACAUCUCGCAUCUGGAGAGCGGCGCGGUCAUGCCGUAAAACACCCAACUUCUCAGGUUGACCUCAGAUCAGGUAGGAAUACCCGCUGAACUUAAGCAUAUCAAUAAGCGGAGGA
rnacentral:misc_RNA from 1 species